GUCAAGACAAUCGCGGCUGCCGAAUGGCAGAUGAGGAAAGUCCGGGCUCCGCAGGGCAGUGUGCUGGAUAACGUCCAGCGGGGGUGACCCUAGGGAAAGUGCCAUAGAGAAGGAGACCGCCUGGCAUGCCAGGCAAGGGUGGAAAGGUGCGGCAAGAGCGCACCAGCAGGCAGGUGACUGUCUGGCUUGGCAAACCCCACACGGAGCAAGACCAAAUAGGGAAGGGUUGAGGUUGCCCGCCGACCUUCCGGGUUGCGUCGCUUGAGACGUGCGGCAACGUACGUUCUAGAUAAAUGAUUGUCACCGCGCAAGCGGAACAGAACUCGGCUUAUUGACUGCUU
rnacentral:RNase_P_RNA from 1 species